GUGCAUGUGUUGUUUUCAGUCUCCUCGAACAACCAGGUAACCAUUAACCUUCACCGGUCAGAAUCUAAAGACAAGAAUCAUGGGGGUGAAGAUAAAAGUCGAAUACUGCGGCGGAUGAGGCUACGAGCCUCGUUUCCGGGAGCUGAAGCGAGGUAUCAACGCCAAGUGUCCUGAUGCCGAGGUGUCAGGCUUCGUGGGCCGGAGAGUUUUGAGGUACAGAUCAAUGAACAUCUGGUCUUCUCAAAAUUAGAAACAGGAGGUUUCCCCUAUGAAGAGGAUGUAAGCAUCAGGGAAUAUUACAUUGUCAGAGUAAAUUCAAGCAUUUAAUCAAAGCC
rnacentral:lncRNA from 1 species